AAGGUGUAUCCGAAAAACCUAAAAAGAGUAAGAA
rnacentral:ncRNA from 1 species